rnacentral:rRNA from 1 species
GCUAUGUAGGGAAGGGAUAAGCGCUGAAAGCAUCUAAGUGCGAAGCCCACCUCAAGAUGAGAUUUCCCAUGAUUUUAUAUCAGUAAGAGCCCUGAGAGAUGAUCAGGUAGAUAGGUUAGGAGUGUAAUUGUGGUGACACAUUUAGCGGACUAAUACUAAUAGCUCGAGGACUUAUCCAAAA